rnacentral:rRNA from 1 species
UGAGACACGGCCCAGACUCCUACGGGAGGCAGCAGUGGGGAAUUUUGGACAAUGGGGGCAACCCUGAUCCAGCAAUGCCGCGUGUGUGAAGAAGGCCUUCGGGUUGUAAAGCACUUUUGUCCGGAAAGAAAACCGCCGCCCCUAAUAUGGUGGUGGGAUGACGGUACCGGAAGAAUAAGCACCGGCUAACUACGUGCCAGCAGCCGCGGUAAUACGUAGGGUGCGAGCGUUAAUCGGAAUUACUGGGCGUAAAGCGUGCGCAGGCGGUCUGUUAAGACCGAUGUGAAAUCCCCGGGCUUAACCUGGGAACUGCAUUGGUGACUGGCAGGCUUUGAGUGUGGCAGAGGGGGGUAGAAUUCCACGUGUAGCAGUGAAAUGCGUAGAGAUGUGGAGGAAUACCGAUGGCGAAGGCAGCCCCCUGGGCCAACACUGACGCUCAUGCACGAAAGCGUGGGGAGCAAACAGGAUUAGAUACCCUGGUAGUCCACGCCCUAAACGAUGUCAACUAGUUGUUGGGGAUUCAUUUCCUUAGUAACGUAGCUAACGCGUGAAGUUGACCGCCUGGGGAGUACGGUCGCAAGAUUAAAACUCAAAGGAAUUGACGGGGACCCGCACAAGCGGUGGAUGAUGUGGAUUAAUUCGAUGCAACGCGAAAAACCUUACCUACCCUUGACAUGGUCGGAAGUCUGCUGAGAGGUGGACGUGCUCGAAAGAGAACCGGCGCACAGGUGCUGCA